UCAAUGUAUAGUUACUUAUGUGA
rnacentral:snRNA from 1 species